CUUUGUUUUAACACGCUAUAUUUAAAAGUAGCCACUUCAUUUCAAAAAUAAUCUUUUUAUCAACAGGUCUGCCAUUACAAAUUGAGAAUUAUGAUGAAGUGUUGUUGUUUGAUUGUUUUUAUCUUUUGCACAAUUGAUGUGUCAAAUGGCGGCACUCUUUCUAAAAUAUGCAUCGGUACCUGUGGAACAAAAGGUGUUCCGUGUAAUGAGACUUUCGGGUCUGAUUGGACGUAUAACGGAAAAUGCUGUGGUGACCGACCAUGUUGUAAAUUUUUAAAAGCGCCAUGUGUUCCAGAAACUUGCCCAAAGGGGUUCAAGCUAUUAUCAAACCAAACGAGUAGUCAAAAUUGUUAUUACAGUAGUGGUCCCAGUAGUUGGGUUAAUGACGCUAGCUGGAAUACAG